rnacentral:rRNA from 1 species
AGAGUUUGAUCCUGGCUCAGAAUCAACGCUGGCGGCGUGCCUAACACAUGCAAGUCGAACGAGAAAGUGGAGCAAUCCAUGAGUAAAGUGGCGACCGGGUGAGUAACACGUGACUAACCUACCCUAGAGUGGGGAAUAACCUCGGGAAACCGGGGCUAAUACCGCAUAACAUCGCGAGGGGAAGAUCCUUGCGAUCAAAGGAGCAAUUCGCUCAAGGAGGGGGUCGCGGCUGAUUAGCUAGUUGGUGAGGUAACGGCCCACCAAGGCUAAGAUCAGUAUCCGGCCUGAGAGGGCGCACGGACACACUGGAACUGAAACACGGUCCAGACUCCUACGGGAGGCAGCAGUGGGGAAUUUUGCGCAAUGGGGGAAACCCUGACGCAGCAACGCCGCGUGGAGGAUGAAGUCCCUUGGGAUGUAAACUCCUUUCGAUCGGGACGAUUAUGACGGUACCGGAAGAAGAAGCACCGGCUAACUCUGUGCCAGCAGCCGCGGUA